AAUGAACGCUGGCGGCGCGCCUAAUACAUGCAAGUCGAGCGAGAAGACGUAGCAAUACGUUUGUAAAGCGGCGAACGGGUGAGGAAUACAUGGGUAACCUACCCUCGAGUGGGGAAUAACUAGCCGAAAGGUUAGCUAAUACCGCGUACGCUUCUUGGACUUCGGUUCAGGGAGGAAAGCGAUACCGUGGGUAUCGCGCUCUUGGAUGGGCUCAUGUCCUAUCAGCUUGNGGUGAGGUAACGGCUCACCAAGGCUUCGACGGGUAGCUGGUCUGAGAGGACGAUCAGCCACACUGGCACUGCGACACGGGCCAGACUCCUACGGGAGGCAGCAGUAAGGAAUAUUGCGCAAUGGGCGAAAGCCUGACGCAGCGACGCCGCGUGGGGGAUGAAGGUCUUCGGAUUGUAAACCCCUUUCGGG
rnacentral:rRNA from 1 species